AUUGAACGCUGGCGGCAUGCCUUGCACAUGCAAGUCGAACGGUAACGGGCCUUCGGGUGCCGACGAGUGGCGAACGGGUGAGUAAUGUAUCGGAACGUACCUUUCAGUGGGGGAUAACGUAGCGAAAGUUACGCUAAUACCGCAUAUUCUGUGAGCAGGAAAGCAGGGGAUCGCAAGACCUUGCGCUGAUUGAGCGGCCGAUAUCAGAUUAGCUAGUGGGUGCGGUAAAGGCUCACCAAGGCGACGAUCUGUAGCGGGUCUGAGAGGAUGAGCCGGCAGACUGGAACUGGGAAGCGGUCUAGAGUCCGACGGGAGGCAGCAGUGGGGAAUUGUGGACAAGGGGGGCAACCCUGAUCCUGCCAUGCCGCGUGAGUGAAGAAGGCCUUCGGGUUGUAAAGCUCUUUCGGCCGGGAAGAAAUCGUAUCAGCUAAUACCUGGUGCGGAUGACGGUACCGGCAUAAGAAGCACCGGCUAACUACGUGCCAGCCGCCGCGGGAACAC
rnacentral:rRNA from 1 species